UUUUCAUCAAGAGCAGUUGAGGGAAUGGCCCUAUGAAGCUGCGGCAACCAUUCACUUUUGUGAAACGGUGCCAAUUCCACAGGAUCUAAUCCUGGUAGAUGAAGC
rnacentral:ncRNA from 2 species